rnacentral:rRNA from 1 species
UUCUCCUGGAAAAAAGGGUGGUAAUGCCGGAUGCUCCGACUCCUCGCAUGGGGUGUCGGGAAAGAUUUCAUCGGUAUGGGAUGGGGUCGCGUCCUAUCAGGUAGUCGGCGGGGUAACGGCCCACCGAGCCUACGACGGGUAGCCGGCCUGAGAGGGCGACCGGCCACAUUGGGACUGAGAUACGGCCCAGACUCCUACGGGAGGCAGCAGUGGGGAAUAUUGCACAAUGGGCGCAAGCCUGAUGCAGCGACGCCGCGUGCGGGAUGACGGCCUUCGGGUUGUAAACCGCUUUUGAUCGGGAGCAAGCCUUCGGGUGAGUGUACCUUUCGAAUAAGCACCGGCUAACUACGUGCCAGCAGCCGCGGUAAUACGUAGGGUGCAAGCGUUAUCCGGAAUUAUUGGGCGUAAAGGGCUCGUAGGCGGUUCGUCGCGUCCGGUGUGAAAGUCCAUCGCUUAACGGUGGAUCUGCGCCGGGUACGGGCGGGCUGGAGUGCGGUAGGGGAGACUGGAAUUCCCGGUGUAACGGUGGAAUGUGUAGAUAUCGAAAAAAAACACCA